rnacentral:sRNA from 1 species
UCGAAACAUUACAUAUCGACCUGCCAGA